rnacentral:rRNA from 1 species
UACGGGGGGGGCAAGCGUUGUUCGGAAUUACUGGGCGUAAAGGGCUCGUAGGCGGCCAACUAAGUCAGACGUGAAAUCCCUCGGCUUAACCGGGGAACUGCGUCUGAUACUGGAUGGCUUGAGUUCGGGAGAGGGAUGCGGAAUUCCAGGUGUAGCGGUGAAAUGCGUAGAUAUCUGGAGGAACACCGGUGGCGAAGGCGGCAUCCUGGACCGACACUGACGCUGAGGCGCGAAAGCGUGGGGAGCAAACAGG